CCUACGGGUGGCAGCAGUGAGGAAUAUUGGUCAAUGGGCGCGAGUCUGAACCAGCCAAGUAGCGUGAAGGAUGACUGCCCUACGGGUUGUAAACUUCUUUUAUAUGGGAAUAAAAUGUUACACGUGUGGGUUUUUGUAUGUACUAUAUGAAUAAGGAUCGGCUAACUCCGUGCCAGCAGCCGCGGUAAUACGGCGGAUCCGAGCGUUAUCCGGAUUUAUUGGGUUUAAAGGGAGCGUAGGUGGGUUGUUAAGUCAGUUGUGAAAGUGUGCGGCUCAACCGUAAAAUUGCAAUUGAAACUGGCAGUCUUGAGUACAGUAGAGGUGGGCGGAAUUCGUGGUGUAGCGGUGAAAUGCUUAGAUAUCACGAAGAACGCCGAUUGCGAAGGCAGCUUACUAGACUGCAACUGACACUGAGGCUCGAAAGUGUGGGUAUCAAACAGGAUUAGAUACCCUGGUAGUC
rnacentral:rRNA from 1 species